CGGGUCUGCUCAAUUGAUUUUUUAAAUUGCUGUGGUAUUUUGACUAUACAAAGGUAUUGAAAUAAGACUUUAAUUGAGUGCUAAGAGAAUGGAAAUACAGAAAAAUUCUUUCUUGAAUUCAAAAAUUGAAGUUAUUUUUAUAUGUGAAGAAACAAUAAUGAAAAUUAUUGACAAGAAGACCCUAAGAAUUUUUUUAAUUUAAUUAAAAAAUUUUUUAAUUAAAUUCUUUAAUUGGGGCGAUUAAUAAAAAUUAAAAACUUUGUUUUUUAAAAAAGAACCAAUAAUAGGACCCUUGUUC
rnacentral:rRNA from 1 species